GGGGGUGUAGUACAGUGGCUAGUAUGCGGGUCUCCAAAACCUGAGACGGGGGUUCGAUUCCCUCCACCCCUGCCA
rnacentral:tRNA from 1 species